GUCACAGUAUACAAGCUGCUGCACAGGUGCUGACCACAAAGAAGAAGAAUUCACCUCAUCAGAGUCUGAUGCCUGCCAAGAUCUUUUGGUCUGUCUGUACCUUCUGGCAAACUCUCUGCUAAAAGAAAAGAAAGAAGAUGGGGGAGAAGACAUGCUGAGAUGAUGAAGAAACAAAUGUGCCAAAGAAUAAGAAGCAGUAAACUGCUCUCAAAUGCCAAAAUGGACAACACAGAGUUGAAGAAACUGCCCCAAGAUGGUCUGUCUGAGACAGGGCAAAACUUUGCUGCUGAAGAAAAGGGAAACCAGUACGGUUUCCUUGAUUAACUAUUCAGAUUUCUCUCUCACUAUUCCUUUCAGUUUGGUCUUCCCUAGGACAUCUUCCUUGCAAGGCUUCCAGUCCUUGGACACACAAUCAUAAAAAUAGCCCAAAUCUUACAUGUAGUGAAGAUCAAACAAGAAUGAAAUAAAAAAAUAAUAAACCUAUU